UACGUAGGGGGCAAGCGUUGUCCGGAUUUAUUGGGCGUAAAGAGCUCGUAGGCGGUUUGUCGCGUCUGCUGUGAAAACUCGGGGCUUAACUCCGGGCCUGCAGUGGGUACGGGCAGACUAGAGUGCGGUAGGGGAGACUGGAAUUCCUGGUGUAGCGGUGAAAUGCGCAGAUAUCAGGAGGAACACCGGUGGCGAAGGCGGGUCUCUGGGCCGUAACUGACGCUGAGGAGCGAAAGCGUGGGAGCGAACAGG
rnacentral:rRNA from 1 species